UGUUUUUGCUGAGGUGGGGUCUGACCCCUGCCCUAGAAAUGGAGGCAGAGUCUCCCUGGCUGCUGGCCCUGUUUGCCUCACUAGAAGCAGGCCACCAGGACCUGCCCAGGGUGUUUUUAACUAACAAGCUAACCACAUUACACUCUCGACAGCAUUAACCAAAAAAAGCAAAAGAGAAAAAGAAGGAUAGAAAAUAGUCCUUGAACGAAUGCCGCUGCAGUGUCUGCCAGGACCUAAGAUCUGGGAGGGUGUGACCUUGGGACAAGCAUUUGAGUCUCAGGCUCUUGUCUGUGAAAUGGGAAAUAAAUACUAUCUACUGCACAGAGGAUCGAAUAAGGUAAAGAUAGUCCAUUAUCUGGCACUUGCAGGUGGGACUUGCAGUGACAAGAGUCAGUCCCCUUGUGUGUGACAUGAGCCUACAACAAGAAUGACAGCCAGAAGAGCACAGUAGUGCAACGCCUGUAGUCCCAGCUAAUCGGGAGGCUGAUUGAAAGUUCAAGACCAGCCUGGGAAA